UCCCUGGUGGUCCAGUGGCUAGUACUCCACACUACCAGUGCGGAGAACUUGGGUUCGAUUCCUGAUCAGGGAA
rfam:Ovis aries breed Texel chromosome 3, whole genome shotgun sequence.